CUCACUUUAGACAACAAGUGAAUUAGAACUUCUCCUCCUUAUCCUUUAAUCUGCCACAAAGUAUCAUUUCCUUAAUACACACCAUUCACUUUCUAGUUUACAAUAGAUCUCACGAUCGCAUUUCUUGGGGCUUAACUUACUCCGGCAAAUUUACUGUUAAGUCUUGUUUCAUGGAACUUCUUGCUAACACAGAGUAAGAAGCUUCUGCGGGAACCAGUACUAACCUUGCCUGGAUAUGGAAACUCCACCUCCCGCCAAAAAUAAAGUGCCUCCUCCAAAAAUUGGGUAGUCCUGAUAUAUGCCAUAUCUACAGUGAACAGAACAGACUAGCGGAUGCUUUAGUAUCUACUAUUACUACUACUACUGCUGCUUUCAUGCAUAACUCCCCGGCUUCAGUUAUGCUUUUUUGGGAAUCUCCGCCAUCCCUCAUGGAUAUUUUGCGUGCCGACCAAUGUGGAGAUUUGACAGCCCGUAGGGUGAAAUACUCAUCUAUAGAUCAGGAUGUACAUAACAUAAGUGUUGUUGAUGUUGUACAUAUUCCUACUAGCCUAGCUAGCGCUACUUCUGCUAGCUCUUUUGUAGUGGCUAUGCCACAGUUACUGUCCCUGUAGAACUUUUGUUACAUAAAUAAAAGCCUUUCUGACCAAAAAAAAAGAAGGUAAACGUUGCCAAA